rnacentral:rRNA from 1 species
GACGAACGCUGGCGGCGUGCUUAACACAUGCAAGUCGAACGGAAAGGCCCUGCUUUUGUGGGGUGCUCGAGUGGCGAACGGGUGAGUAACACGUGAGUAACCUGCCCUUGACUUUGGGAUAACUUCAGGAAACUGGGGCUAAUACCGGAUAGGAGCUCCUGCUGCAUGGUGGGGGUUGGAAAGUUUCGGCGGUUGGGGAUGGACUCGCGGCUUAUCAGCUUGUUGGUGGGGUAGUGGCUUACCAAGGCUUUGACGGGUAGCCGGCCUGAGAGGGUGACCGGCCACAUUGGGACUGAGAUACGGCCCAGACUCCUACGGGAGGCAGAAGUGGGGAAUAUGGCAGAAUGGGCGGAAGCCUGAGGCAGCAACGCCGCGUGCGGGAUGACGGCCUUCGGGUUGUAAACCGCUUUCGCCUGUGACGAAGCGUGAGUGACGGUAAUGGGUAAAGAAGCACCGGCUAACUACGUG